rnacentral:rRNA from 1 species
GAUGAACGCUGGCGGCGUGCCUAACACAUGCAAGUCGAACGGACUCGAUUCUUCGGAUGAAGAGUUAGUGGCGCACGGGUGAGUAACACGUAGGUGACCUACCCCAGAGUGGGGGACGAACUUCUCGAAAGAGAAGCUAAUACCGCAUAUGCUCAGUCAUUCGGUUGAUUGAGUAAAGCUCCGGCGCUCUGGGAGGGGCCUGCGUCCGAUUAGCUAGUUGGUGGGGUAAUGGCCUACCAAGGCGAUGAUCGGUAGCUGGUCUGAGAGGACGAUCAGCCACACUGGCACUGACACACGGGCCAGACUCCUACGGGUGGCAG